rnacentral:lncRNA from 1 species
UCGCAGAAGUAGUUGCCGUCGUGAAGCAGUGAGCGCACCGAAAGGACAAAUCGUGCCGCCGUGGUUGAUUCGUGCAGAUGGCAACGUCGGGUCCUCGGUAGGCGGUAUUGGAGGACCACUAGUAUUAUCCGCACGUUGUCAAGACCUUUCUAGGCGAGGAGAUCCACCAUUGAUGCACCAAUUGCUCGCCGGGUUUUGAACUCCGCCGCCAAGCCAUUGUCUAUCGUGGUCAGCUCCGUCGUAGCUUCAACCCCGGGUAAGAACCCCACCAAACGACUCAUGUCUGUUCCCCCAUCGCGUUGCAGGGACGGAUUGAAGAAUGGCGCAUCAGGACUUGGGAUUGGUCGUGCGCCGACGACUUCCACCGUGGGUUUGGGGCGCCAGCGCCACUUUGGGUAGCCACCGGGGGCUUGGGUGGAGGCAUGUGCACUGUCCAUUGGAUGAAUAAGGGCCAAGAUUAGAUCCUGCUCACACCUCUUCAUGGGAGGAAUACUAGCCGCUAAUUCUUGGAUGAACGACCAUGAAUAGACGUACCCGUGCCGGUUCGGUCAGGUUAUGAGGGUCGUCCAUUGAGCGAUGGACGGAUAGGAUUAGCUCCCCAUUUCAUUAAAACAUAGCCAUCGAUCUCCAAUCUAGCGGAUGGCAUGGCAACAUGUACCGGUUCACAUGGGGGGCUGAUCUAAUCGGUGCCACUCGUGCUUGAUCGGGCGGCCAGGACUUAACCAUAUCCCUUCGGCCACGUGUUUAUGCAAAAGAGACCCUCAGAUUAUUACAAAUCAACCCGCCGUCCUCUCCUAUAGAAAAACUACACAAUCAGGCCCAGGUCUUUAUAAAAACAACCCUGAGAUUAUGAAAAUUUGUGGCCGUCGUCCACGUCCCUAGGAUAUUCAUAUAUUAAUACAAGGAAAUGAAUUAUCAGUACAUAGAUAAACCUAUAAUUUUCGAAAAUUCAUAACUUUUGCCUUUUAAUUCCGUUUUACCCCGUUCAAGUUGCGUUAGCUUCGUAUAAAUAUUUACUAUGCAGUAACAACAUUAAUUAUACCAUAUCACAUACUUUUAUAGUUAGAUAUUCAUUUAACAUAUGUCUACUAGAGUAACUCUUCUAAUCAGAGCUAACAUGUCCAUAAUUAUAAUUUGGUUAGAAUAUGAUCUCUAUUCAAGUUAUAAUUAAGAUUAAAGUGAAUUAAUUAUUUCUUUGGAUUAUCUUUAUCUCAUGGUUUAUAAAAUCAACUCAAAACCUAGUUUUAAUUACUUAAUCACUUAGGUCUUCCAAAAACCAUAUCUUACUAACAGUAACUCCAAUUUUAGUGGUUCUCGAACCUAGGUUCUUGAUACAACACGUAGAUUAUUAGUAUGCAGUUUGUUCUUAUGUUUGAUGUGAUGUUAAUUUUGCCUAUACCAUGGUUGUUUGUAUUGCUACAUUUAGCAGUGAGGUCGCGAGAAUCUGAAGAUCAUCCUGGUACCUGGAAUCUCAAGUCUAAGGCAAGUUGUGCCCUUGAUCACUUUUCUUUACCCAAUAAUGUUCAUGUUAAUCACGGUGACAUGCUCAGGUUAAUUUGAUGGGACCUAAUAGGUUUCUCUAGACUUGUUCAUCCUACACCUUGUUUACCAUGCAUUGAACUUUUAGGUAGCUUUGCUAAUGCUCUACCUGGUUUUGGGAUUAAUAUUACAUUAUGAUCAUGUUCCAAUUAUACUGUUGUUUUAAUUAUUGUUCAUGAUAAGAUCAUUGUGUUAAUUGGAACAUGAAGCUUAACUUGAGAAACACGUGCCACCACAAGGGUGGAAUGGGACGCCCUUGGCUGACUAAUUAGGAAAGCUAGUGGAGGACUACCUUAC